rnacentral:rRNA from 1 species
UACGGGGGGGGCAAGCGUUGUUCGGAAUUACUGGGCGUAAAGGGCUCGUAGGUGGUCAACUAAGUCGGACGUGAGAUCCCUCGGCUUAACCGGGGAACUGCGCCCGAUACUGGAUGACUUGAGUUCGGGAGAGGGAUGCGGAAUUCCAGGUGUAGCGGUGAAAUGCGUAGAUAUCUGGAGGAACACCGGUGGCGAAGGCGGCAUCCUGGACCGACACUGACGCUGAGGAGCGAAAGCCAGGGGAGCAAACGGG